CCAAUAGCGUAUAUUAAAGUUGUUGCAGUUAAAAAGCUCGUAGUUGAAUUUCGGGGUCAGUAGGUUGGUCGUGCCACUGGUAUGCACUGGCCUUACUGAUUCCUCCUUCUUGAAGAACUGUGAUGUCAUUUACUUGGUGUUGCAGGGAAACAGGACUGUUACUUUGAAAAAAUUAGAGUGUUUAAAGCAGGCUAACGCUUGAAUACAUUAGCAGGGAAUAAUGAAAUAGGACGUUUGAUCCUAUUUUGUUGGUUUCUAGGAUUGACGUAAUGAUUAAUAGGGUUAGUUGGGGGCAUUAGUAUUCAAUUGUCAGAGGUGAAAUUCUUGGAUUUAUUGAAGACUAACUACUGCGAAAGCAUUUGCCAAGGCUGUUUUCAUUAAUCAAGAACGAAAGUUAGGGGAUCGAAGACGAUCAGAUACCGUCGUAGUCUUAACCAUAAACUAUGCCGACUAGGGAUCGGAUGAUGUUAAUUUUUUAAUGACUCAUUCGGCGCCUUACG
rnacentral:rRNA from 1 species